UACGAAGGGGGCUAGCGUUGCUCGGAAUUACUGGGCGUAAAGCGCACGUAGGCGGCUUUCUAAGUCGGAGGUGAAAUCCUGGAGCUCAACUCCAGAACUGCCUUCGAUACUGGAGCUUGAGUCCGGGAGAGGUGAGUGGAACUGCGAGUGUAGAGGUGAAAUUCGUAGAUAUUCGCAAGAACACCAGUGGCGAAGGCGGCUCACUGGCCCGGUACUGACGCUGAGGUGCGAAAGCAUGGGGAGCGAACAGG
rnacentral:rRNA from 1 species